rnacentral:rRNA from 1 species
CCUACGGGACGCAGCAGUGGGGAAUAUUGCACAAUGGGGGAAACCCUGAUGCAGCAACGCCGCGUGAGGGAAGACGGUCUUCGGAUUGUAAACCUCUGUCUUUGGGGAAGAAAAUGACGGUAUCCAACGAGGAAGCUCCGGCUAACUACGUGCCAGCAGCCGCGGUAAUACGUAGGGAGCAAGCGUUGUCCGGAAUUACUGGGCGUAAAGAGAGCGUAGGCGGGAUGGCAAGUAGGAUGUUAAAUCCAUCGGCUUAACCGUUGGCUGCCUUCUGAA